rnacentral:rRNA from 1 species
GAUGAACGCUGGCGGCGUGCCUAAUACAUGCAAGUCGAGCGGAAAGGCCUCUACGGAGGUACUCGAGCGGCGGACGGCUGAGUAACACGUAGGAACGUACCCUGAAGUGAGGGAUAACUGCUCGAAAGAGUAGCUAAUACCGCAUGUGCUCUAAGGAGUAAAGCUUCGGCGCUUUGGGAACGGCCUGCGUCUGAUUAGCUAGAUGGUGAGGUAAUGGCUCACCAUGGCGACGAUCAGUAGCUGGUCUGAGAGGAUGAUCAGCCAGACUGGGACUGAGACACGGCCCAGACUCCUACGGGAGGCAGCAGUAGGGAAUUUUCCACAGUGGGCGAAAGCCUGAUGGAGCAACGCCGCGUGCAGGAUGAAUGCCUUCGGGUUGUAAACUGCUUUUAUAUGUGACGAAUAUGACGGUAGCAUAUGAAUAAGGAUCGGCUAACUCCGUGCCAGCAGCCGCCGUAA